rnacentral:lncRNA from 1 species
UUUAUGCCCUUAACUUACCACAUCAAGAUUCACCUUAUUCUAGCUGAUAGAUCUCAGAUAUUACAAAACCCUAAACAACCCCAAUAUGCCAACUUCUGAUACCUCUUUACACUAAUGAUUAAAUAUCCUCUAUCCAUACCAUUAGAUUAACACAAUUUUUUUGCGUGCACUUGGCAUACUCAACCAUCUAGACACCUCUAAAAUUUCAACUAGUGAUGACUUUUUAAUUUCACAAAACAGUCAAGAGUACUAGCCUUUACUUUAUUACAAAAAUCUAAUUCACCAAUACAAACACUGACUUUGAGCAAUGAUUGCAAAGUCCUCCCAAAUCCUAUGAAAUUCAAUUCUAUACCUUUCGAAGAAGCUUGAAACUAGCUCUCCGAUCUCAAAAUCCCGAUCUCUCGAAUGUUUCUUUCUUUUCCUCUCUUUUCCUUUAACUCCAUGAGGCCUCCUAUUCUUCUGCCAUGGACUUCGAAUUGGAUUAGCAGACCGUGCUUCCAUGAAAUUCUCGCCUCUAAGAGGAUCUUUCUAUAGAAAGGACGUUUCUUCAAAAUGGCAUAGACAACGGAACAGCUUGAAUAGAAUCAAAGCCUCUGUAAUCGGAACCUCAUUGGGCUAUCCAACCAAAUCAAGUCUCAUACUGGAUAAGAGGCCCGUAACAAGAUCUGGAUUGGAUGUCCCCGUAAUUGGGUCAAAUUGGUCCUUCACAUCAAGCUCAUCUAAUUGUUGAAUUGGUCCUUUCUCCUUUUGUCGAUUUCUGGUAAGAAUGGCUUGGACACAUUCCACCCAAUUUAUCGAAGUAUCUUGAGGACCUUGAUUUAUCUCCUCAAUUUUUUCUUAGCUUUGGAUCUACUGAUCUCAAUUAUUGAAAUUAAACGGAAUAUUACAUUGCUGAUAAGUAUGCCCCGACUGCUUGCUACUCCCACACAUUGGUGCGUAAUUGUCACUAGCUCUAAGAUUAGAUCAUUCAUUAGCAUAAUGACCAAUGUGUCUACAACAAAAAGAAAAAAGUGGUCUUCUUGCACCCCCCAUCAUGCAUAUUAGAUGUCUCUACCAGUGUAUACCUACUAGGCUUGUUCCAUGUAGGGUUAGAAAAUGAUCCUGGUCGUCCCAUUGGUACGGAGGGUACUUGGUUCAAUGACACCAGUGAAGCAUACGUUGUUGUCACGUUGAGUGGUACAGCUUACAAUGGGGUGACAUUAACUAGCCUAUGAAUAUUGGCAUUGGAAUUGGCCAUUGUUUCUAACAUUCAAGAUGACUAAAUAUUAAUAAAUCUUUUUCAUUUAUAUUUUUACCAUGUAGCCAUAUUACAACACGACAUCCACCUCCUCUGAACUUUUGCAUCUUUUGGUAUGCAUCAAAUAACCAAGUUGUUGUUUGUUUUAUAAUAUGUUCUUCAAGUCUUAGUCUAAAUCCUCUUCAUUACUUUUACUAUCCAAGUCAAUUCCAUCUUCCUUUUGAUGAAUAUCUAUGUCUUCACGAAGGUCUUCUAUAUUUAUUUUUGUGUAUCUUUGUUUAAAUAUUUUUACUCACUUCCCUGCAAUUAGUAUUUUUAACCUUAUUCCAUCUAACUCCUAGAAUGAGUAAAUGCAUUAUUAUGAAUAGUUGUUAUCACAUACGGUCCAAACCAUCGCUUAGAAAACUUCCUUUAAGUAUUAUGUUGAUUGUCCAGGCUACUAUCAUAGACCAAAAUCCAAUCACCUUUUUCAAUUGCUUUAGGCCUCAAUCGAUGAUACUUAUCAAACCAUGCCUUGUUUUAUAACCUCGCUCUUUUUAACCUUUCUAAUGCUAUUUGAACAUCUUCCAAUCUUUGUUCUAAUUGUUGAAUUCUAAUAGCUAAAAGUUCUUCUCUUGUCAAUCUGUCUUCCUAUGGUAGCACACUCCAAGAAGGUAUUUUUUCUUCAAUUGGCAUAAUUGGUUUUUGACCUGUCAUAAGCUCAAUAGGCAUAUAUCCCGUUACUGAGCUAUGAGUUGUCCGAUCAAUCCAUAAUGCAAAUGACAAAAGUCAUGGCUAUUCUCUAAUCUUACUAUUACAUGUUUUAACUAUUGCUUUCACAAUCACUAGGUGACAUCGUUCACUUUUUGCAUUUCCUUCAGGAUUAUAAGCAGUAGUUAGUGAUAGUUUAAUUCCACAACUUUCAAAGAAUUUACAAGCUUCUUGUGCAUUUAAUUCUCCACAAUCUAUAGUGAUUUUUCCUAUACAUCCGUAGCAGCAAAUAAUAUCUUCAAACAAAAAUCUACAAAUUCCUUCUGUAGAUUUUAUUCUCAAUGUUCUUCCUUCUACUUGAUUUGAUAAAUCUUCACGAGUUAAGACCAAAUAUCUCAUUUUCCAUAACCCGAUUGGCAUAACAAUCAAAUCAACAAUCCAUUUAAAAUGAAUAGCUAGAGGAUAUGUAGGAUGAAGACCAUCUCGAUGUUAUAUAUUAAAAUACGCUUGACAAAUUUUACAUGACUCUAUAAAUAAGUACACAUCUUGAUACAUAUUUCUCUACCAAUAUCAUUCCUUAAGUUUAGCAAAAGUAGCCCAAAUUCCUAUAUAUCCUACCUAUAAACUAUCAUCAAACCACUUUAAUAAUUUUUGUUUCUCUUCCUUAUUGCCUAUCACUCUUUGUGGCAUUCCAAUUCUAUUCUUUGGUCUCUUGUAUAAGAAUCCUUCUUGAAGCAAAAAUCCAUAUGCUUUUUUUCUUAUUUGUUUAAAUUUAUAUGUAGACCAAUUUUCUUGCUUAUUGAAGGUAUUCAAAAAAUGACUAAUAUCCAAUAAUUCUCUUUCAUAAAAUUCUUCAAGAAAUAGCUUAUCUUCUUUAUUAAGAUUUGAUACUGAAUAGAAUUUUGAUCCAACAUCAUUAACGUCUUCAACCAUUUCGUCUUCUCUUUUAUAUCUUGCUCGAAAUAACAUGUCUGCUACUAAAUUGUCUUUUCCAGCAACAUGCUUAAAUUUUGGAUUUAAUGACUUAAUAUAAGCAAUCCAUCUUAACAUUACAAUAUCUGGUGUUGAAAAAUUAGUAAUCAUUCCAAGUAAUGGCAAGCAAUCUAUUUCAAUUACUAUUGCUGCACCAAUCAAAUAAUCCCUUUUAGCUUUCAUAGCCAAAACAACUCUCCAAAGUUCUCUUUUAAGUUGCGAAUAUGCACGUUGAAGAAUACUUAAAACUUUAGCUCCAAAUCGAACUGCAAAUCUAUUUCCACUUGAAUCAUCUUGAUCCACAUCUCAUCCAAUAGCAAUAGGAUUAGUAUCCACAGUAAGAAUUACUUGUCUAUUACAAUCAUAAUCAAUUUUUUUUUUAAAAUUGGAGGUGUCACCAAUAACACCUUUAGCUUCUACAUUGUUUUAGUAUGUUUUUUUUUUUUUUCAUUUAAAUCGAUAAUCUUUAUAUUAUAAUUCAUACAAUGGAUCGACUACAUGACUAUAAUGAGAAAACCAUAUACGAUAAAAUACACAAGCUCCUAAAAACCUGCGUACUUUUGUUAAAGAGUCACAUGAAUCUUUCAUCCUUCCAAUUGCAUCAACUUUCUUUGGACCUGGCUUUCUCCCAUAAAAUCCACCGAAAUACCCAAUAAUAAGAACUUCUUAUACUCCAAAUGUAGAUUUUGCUCCUGAAAGUGUAAGAUGAACCUCUUCAAGUUGAGUUAAAAUCUUUUCACAAUCUUGUAUAUGAUCAACAACAUAUUUGCGACCCCCUCUUUCAUCUAAAGUUUCAUCAUUUUCUCCUUCUUUACAUCUUUUGAUAGGAACAUCAUCUAAAAAAGGCAUAGUUUUUUCAGGAAUGAAGUCUCUUAGUAUCAUGUUCAUCCCAUUCAUCAUAUGUACAAGUGAGUUAGUAGCACCCAGAGGGAGAGUAUACAUUUUAAGUAAUCCAAGUGGCGUUCUCAUUGUUGUUAGAUCUCUACUCCCAUGUGCAAGUUUCAAUUGAUCAUAAUCCGAAUAAAAAUCACUCAUUGAAUAAAUUGCCCUUCCCACAAACACUUCUGUAAACUUGUCUACUAAAGGUCCUAUACCUGCAUUUCUUAUAGUUAUUGCAUUCUAUGGCUGCAUAUCUUGAAUAAAAUGUAACGAUCCAUUUUUCUUAGGCAUCGUAAACCAACGACUAGAAUUUGGAGCAAAAGAAGGCUACAAAAUUUUCAUUUGCAUCUUUUCUUUUAAUAAUUCUACCAAUUUAGGUAAAUGUGCCCUCAGCACGGAAAUUGGCCUUAAGUCUCAAGGCACAUGAGGUACUAUAAAGAUAACCAUAGGAGCAACAACAUAAGGAUCUACACAUCCUAUUUCACGAGAUCCAAAGGCAAAUGAUUUACCUCGUUUCGUAAGCAUUUUUUUAAAAUAUUCAAUUUCUGUUGGAAAUAAAGAACUAUCACAUCUAAUCUUCAAUUCUUCAAAAGUCUCUUUUGUAAGCUGAUGUCCAAUCUCUUUUAGAUCUCUUAAAAUCUCUUCUUUUGAUGCUUCUUCUAUUUAUUCUUUAGAAUCUUUUGGUAAAGGUCUGGCAACAGGUUUUACCUUUUUAUCUACUAUUUUAUAUUUUGUCUCUACAAUAACUUCUGGUGCUUGAAAAGAUUCAAGUAUAGAAUAAACCUCCUUCAAAUGAAUUUCCACAAUCUUAUCAUUAUCCCUUAAUCCAAUACAUGUAAUUAAUUCCAAAGAAUCCUCCAAUCCAUUUUCUUCAUAAACACCUAAAAUCUUCUCAUCAUCUUCCAAUGUCCCUAACUUGUGUAAUUUCCUUUCAAUACUAUAUAAUCUUUUUCUUUCUUUUCUUUUAAAAUCAUCAACUUUCUUAUACAUAAUAUUUCCAUUCUCAAAAAUACCAAUAAACUCGCAUCAAAGGUACCUUCAUCUCGGGAGAGUACUUCCUCUUUUAUACCUUCAUAAUCCCACUGUCGUAAUACGUGAAGUCUUGCUUGAGAAUGCUCCGAGCACCUGGUUGUGGAAGGAAGAAUGGAAAUUACAAUAACAAAAUCUUAAUUCUAAUAGAAUACUAACAAUGUUCUAAUUAAACCAUAAUAAUGCUAAGUAAGCUUAAUCAAAUUCAAAAAAACUUCAAAGAAAUUUCAAACAAAUAAUUAGAAUUCUUAAAGAAAUAUUAGAAGGAUGAAAAAUAUCACUCAAAUAUAUCUCAAUUCAAUCUUAAUUUAAUUCUAGUUAAAAUCCUAUUGAACUUCAUUAAAACUUUAGGACAAAAUUAAUUGAAUCUUAAAUCCUAAUAAAAUCCUAAAUCCUAAAUCAAACCCUAAACAAACCUUAAACCAAAUUCCAACCAAAUCCUAAACCAAAUCCUAACCAAAUCCUAAACCAAACCUUAAUCCAAAUCCUAAACCCUAAAUAAACCCUAACCAAAUCCUAAUCCAAAUCCUAAAUCCUAAAUCAAAUCUUAAUCUAAACCCUAAAUCCUAAACCAAAUCCUAAUCCAAAUUCUAAAUCCUAAAUCCUAAAUUAAACCCUAAUCCAAAUCCUAAUCAAACCUUAAACCAAAUCCUAAACCAAAUCCUAACCAAACCCUAACCAAACCCUAAACCAAACCCUAGUAAUUCCUAUAACAGAUUUAAACCUCAAUAACUAAUUAAUAAACCAUUGAUCUUAAUUCAAAUUUUUCACACUUCUUAAAAACUAAGUUCAAAAAAAGCACAAAAAAAUUGAAAAGGAUCGGAGUUACCAAAUUGACGAUAACCUCAAAAAUAAGCUCGGAUAUUGGCGGGCCUCCUUCUCCAAUCUUGAUGCCAAUCUUCCAGAGCCAAUAUCUCUCUUUUACAUUGUUCGAUUCAUCUCAAAAUUCUCAUACACAUAGAAAAAUAAGUCUAAUAUCCUCUCACAUUAGUUUCACUCCAAUCCAACUAGUAGAUUGCACGAAAUCAUAAAAAAUCCUACUAGACCUAAAAUUCUACUUUCUCAGACCUUGAUCCACUUAAUCCUCAAUAUUCCUCAAUUCAACCGUUAGAUUGAGCUCAAAUUUAUAAAUCAUAUUAAAUACAACUAUAACCAUAAACCCACAAAAUUCCACCUGUAGAUCUACUACAAAACUCUUGAAAACACCCAAAACAUAAACCCUAUUUUAUUUCAUAAAACCCAAAUCAUCCGAAACAAACCUUGACUUUGCAAAGCUAUUACAAGAGACUCAACAAGAUCUUUCCAACUUGUUACAGCUCGUAUUAUAGCUGCAGUCCUCAAUAACGCUUCCCGAGGCAUUUUUCCCUUGUAUAUUGUGGAAAUGGUAGAAGCCCAAAGUUCACUAGUUUCUAUACUUCUGCCAAAGUCAUCAUCUACUCUAACACCAUAACUUGCACUCUCUCGUGUUGCUAUUCUAUGUUCUAUUAAGUAAUCUUGAACCAAUGCUCUUAUACCUCCUUUACCAAAAUUGGUUUGAAGGAGAUCCUCUAUAUCCUUUAAUACAAUCUUUCCAUCUUUCUCAUAAAUAACUCCUUGCUGUAUCAUAUUAAUAAAUUCAUUGCAAUCCUUCCUAGUAUAUGAAGCAUCAUCAUACUAGAUACAUCUUUGUACAUACCCUUGUUUUGAAACAUUCUUCAAAUUAUUUGUAGAAGUAUUUUCUUCAAGUCUUGCCAAUUUGAUUUAAAGAUCUCGCAUUCCACGUAUAAUUUCUUCAAUCUCUAUAUCUCCUUUCUUCGAUAAAGAUGUUGAAGGUUGAACAGUAGGCAUUGUUGGUCGUGUUGUAUGUACUGGAAUUUUAGGCACUUAUACUGCUUUUGGAAUAUUACUCCUAUCCUUCUUCUUUUUUCUUUUUGCAAGCAAACCCACCACAUUUUCAAUAUUUUUCCACUUUGUUGUCAAUCCUUCAUCAUCUUCUUUGUCUUCAAGAAGCAACUCCAAUUUCCCUUGUAAUUCUCGAUCAGCAGCUUGAAGAAAUAAUUCAACCUUGUUCGGCUCUCAUGUCAAUUUUUCUACUUUCGAUAAUUGAGAAUAUUGCCUCUCAAAUUUCCUUAAUAGUUCUAUUACUUAUAAAUUCUUAUUAGGCUGCUCAAUCCAUUCUAAAAAUAGUUUCUUAGUAAUACGAUCAGUGUCCUCUGAGAAAUAUUUAUCUUUUAAUGCAUGUGAAAAUAUCUCCCAUGAAUUUUUCAUAAUGCUCCAUAAUUGAUGUAAAAUGCUCUCUUAUUUCUGGUAUCAUAGCAAGUCAAAAUAAUUCAACCAUCAUCUUGUCAAAAACCUGAUUUAAUUCUAUUUCUUGAACAUAACAUCUUAAAUACUUUGAAAUAUCCCUUCCAUCAAAUUGAUCAAUUUUAUUGACCAUUUCUUGCAAUGCUUUGGUUGCCAAAGCUUUUUUGUGAUCAUUGCUUUGCUGUUGUUGCAUAGAUAAUGAUAAGGCUUGAAAUAUACCACCAACGAACGAAUCCAUGUAUAUACUUUGUCCUUUAGAAGAAACCCCACCAGAAGCUACACUUGAAGCUCCUUCAAAAAAUUUUAUUUUCAUUCUCCAUAAAAUAAAAUAUGAAAAUAAAUAAAUCCCAAUACCUCCUACUUCAAGCAUUUCACAUUGAAUUCACCACUUAUGUCGUAUUAAGUGCUAUCUAGCUUGAGAAUGUACCGAGAGUCUAGUUGUGGAAGAUAAAACAAAGUUUUGCAAGUAUCCAAGUAGUCUACUGGGCUUCAACCAUCUAAAUACAAACUAUUCCGGAUUUCAAUGUAAAAGCUUAAUCCCAAUAUACAAUGCUUAGAAAUACUAUUUUGAAUAGCUUUUAGAUACUAUAAGCAUAAUUUAUUUUUUUGUUAUACAUUAUUUUUAUUUUACUUUAUAUUAUUUAUUUAUUUAUUUAUUUAUUUUAAUUUUUUUAUUUUUACUUAUUUAUUUAUUUAUUUAUAUUUUUUAAACCCUAAUCCUAGAUAGUGAGCUUCGACAAGCUGUAAUUUUCAAUCUGACCGUCCAAUUGUUGUAAGACUUCUACCAUUAGUGUCUUUACAAGUCUUCUAAAUGCUCAAGAAGUUCAAUUCAAUCCAACUUACAGAUUGCAAGAAAACACCAUAAAUCCACACUGAUGUCCCUUGACCAUUGUCUAGAAGUUAAUGACAAACUUUGACUGGCAAUUUUUCCUUCUCUAACCAUUAAUUCUCAUUCAAACCUUGUGUGCAGCUCUGCCUUUAUGCCCUUAACUUACCACAUCAAGAUUCACCUUAUUCUAGCUGAUAGAUCUCAGAUAUUACAAAACCCUAAACAACCCCAAUAUGCCAACUUCUGAUACCUCUUUACACUAAUGAUUAAAUAUCCUCUAUCCAUACCAUUAGAUUAACACAAUUUUUUUGCGUGCACUUGGCAUACUCAACCAUCUAGACACCUCUAAAAUUUCAACCAGUG